GGAGGCCAGGCCCCAUGUGGGGGGUGAGGCCGGGCCCUGUGUGGGGGGUGAGGCCGGCCUGGGUAGGAGGCAGAGGAGGCCGGGCCAGCCCUCCCCAGUGCAGGACAAGCUCUCAUCACAGAGCACAGGCUGAGGGAGAGACCAGCACGGACGCUCCUGGAGCAGCAGACCCAGCUCUGCACCUCUGAGCUGUGUCGGGGGCUCCUCCAGACCUCCAGGGAAGCCCAUGGCAGACCGUGAAGACACGGAAGACAUCAUUUGAGAGGCCAGCGCCCCGGCCUCCACUCUGUGGACAGCAGAGGAGCCUCGGUGCUGCCUCCAGCGUCUGCAGGCCCCAGGGCUGGGCUGGCCUGGAGCCGCUGCUCCUGCCUGUCACCUCCAGAGCAGGUGCUAGCAGGAGCGCCGUGUGGAGAGUCCACAGUUAGGACUCUGCAGCCCGAGCGGCCCCGAGUCAGCCGCUGCAGCUCUGAAGGCUCUUCCCCCUGAAAAAGAGCUCAGUACCCUGUGUCCACUGUGCCCCACGGCUCACAGCCUCGGCCCCCGCAGAGCACUUCUUACGUGGCUGACUGGACGGACAGCGGAGACACCUUGCAGGGGCUACUCUACUCCACCUGGCCCCUGCCAAGACCACACACUUACCUUCAACAGAUGUAACAAUGUAGCCAUACCCAGGGCUAGCCAUUUACUCACAGAAGAGACGUGAAAAAGCAAGGGUAUUGGAAAUCUCAAAAGGAAUGCAAUCAAUUCCCAAUAUGAAAUACCAUAGAAGAAAUUCAAAAUAGUUGUCCUAAGGAAAUAGUGGAAUUCAACACACUAUUAUGUGCUGUCAGUGGUUCAUGCCUGUCAUCCUAGCUACUCUGAUGACUGAGAUCUGCGGAUUCUGGUUCAAAGCCAGCACAGGCAGGAAAGUUCAUGAGACUCUUAUCUCCAAUUAACCACCCACAUGCGAAAGUGGAGUUCUGGCUCAGGUGGCACAGCACAAGCCUUGAGAACAAAGCUAAGGAACAGCACCAAGCUCGGAGCUCAGUCUCCAGGGUCUGCAGACAGACAAGCCCAAAAAUCCUUGAAGCUGAAGAAAUCAGUGAAUUGAACAAAAUAACAACAGAGAGCUUCAAUAAGAGGCCAGAUCAAACAGAAUAAACAGUUUUUGAACUUGAAAGCAGACCUAUUGAAAUAUCAGAGAAGAGAAAAGAAGAAAUGAACCUCAAAAAGAAUGAGGAAGCUAAUGGAAACUAUAGGACACCAUUAAGUGAACAGAUAUCCACACUGCAGGACUCCCAGAGGGAGGAGAGUUGGAGAAAGGGACAGAAAGCCCACUUGACCCAGUUAGAUCUGAAAAUUUCCCAAGUGUUGGGAGAAAUAAGGAUAUCCAGAUACAGACACUUCCCAAUGGACUCCACCCAAAGGUCUCCCCCAAAGCACGUUACCAUCAAAGUGUGGAGAUAAAGGACAAAGAGAAGUCUGAAAGCAGCCAGGUGUCAUUCCACACCACCUACAAGGGAAGUUCUAUCAGCUCAGACCUCCCAGAGCAGGAAGGGACAGGGUGACACAUUCCCAGUGCUGAAAGAAGCACCACCUUAACCUACCAAAACUAAGAGAGAUAAAGUCCCUAACAGGCAGAAGCUGAGGACAUUUACCACCAUGACACCAUCCUUAUAAGAUGCUUAGCCAAGUGUCACCACUGCAGACAUAAGGACAAUGACUGUACCAGAAAACCACAUGAGAUGUAAAACUCACUCUUAAGGGCAAAUUUAAUAUGUAUUUACUGAGUUAUAGUCAAGCUCAUUCUUCUCUAGGACCAUAACCAUUCUAUAUAAUUCUCUCAAAUCACUAUGAUGAAGGUUAAAGUUCAAAAUGGUCAAGGUACCUGCAGCUAGAAGUACUUGUUAAGAACACACAAUACACAAGUAUGUAAAUCAAAAUGACAAAAAAUAUGUUGUGAGGGGGUAGAUAAAAUUCAAAGUAUUUGUCCGUGCCCAAGAAUCUUCACGUCAGUUCCGUGGUAAUCAGCAAGAAUUGCAGCAACUUUUCAAACUCAAAAGAGAAAGGCCCCAAGGCACAGAAAGGCUCAUAGGCACAGAAGGCCAGCAGCCCACCACGCAAUCAAGGAGGGGAAGAAGGCAGCAGAGACAACCGGAGAACAAGAACGCAUGGCAGGAAUGGCCCUUCCUCCCCACCAGAAAGCCUGAAGGCAGCUGGUUUGAACUCUCUAGUUAGAAGAUGGAGAGCCACUGGCCGGAUAAGGACACAUGGCCCACCUGCAGGCUGCCUAGUUACUCACCAACCCUGUGAGGACAGAGACUGAGAGUGAGAGAAUGGAUGGAUACUUUGUGCCAACAACCGAACGCCAGCAGGAAAAGCUACACUUGAACUUCAUGAAAUGGAUCUCAAGCCCAAACUGCAAAAGUAAAUUAAAAAUAUUAUUAUGUUCCCAAAAAACUAUCAAUUCAGAAAAUGAUAUGAUGAUUGCAAAUGCAAAUAUACAAAGCAGAUAUUUUUCAAUUAUUCAAUCUAUAAAGAAAGACAUUGUAAUGCAAUAAUAACAGGAGAUUUGAAAAGUCACUUAUAGCAAUGAACAGGCCAUUCAGAUUGAAAUCAGCACAGAUUCACUGGACUUAAAUGCACUCUGCACUAAGCAGACAGAUAGACAUUAUUGAACCUUUUAUCCAACACCUGUAGAAAGUACCUUCUCACAACACAUGAAAAUUUUUCCAGUAUUUAUCUACAUGUUAGGCCAGUGAUGGUCUUAGCAAAUUUAAGAAGAUUUAAAUCAUAUCUACUAUUCCUCUGACUACAGCAAUGUAAGACUAGAAGUCUGUAUCAAAAGGCUCUUCAGGAAUUAUACAAAUGGAAACCGGCCUAAUCCUGAAUAAUCCAUAGGCUAUUCAAGAAACUAAAAUAAAAAUUUAAGUUUUCAAGACAAAUGAAAAUGGACACAAAGCAAACCCAAAAUCUAUGGAAUACAGCAAAAGCAGCUCUAAGCCAGACGCUUACACCAGCAAACGCUUUCAGGAAAGACAGUUUCAGGUGGGAGCAAUAGAGCAGAGGUGACCUGCAGGUUUCAGACAUUUGCAGCCAUCUAUCCAAUCUUCAAAGGAGCAAAGAGCUCAAAUACACAUUGUUCCUAGAAGACAUGCAAGCAAGUAGGAUGCAUGCUUUAAAAUAAACUCAGCAUCACUCAGCAUCAGAGAGUAUGAGUUAAAGCCAUAAUAAGACAUCUUCUGACAGCUGCCAGAAUGGCUGUUAAACAAAUGGUGAGGUAGAGGAAGGAAACUUUGUACGCUCUGAUGGGAGUUCACAUUAGCAGUAUUCACCAUAGCCAAGAAAUGAAGAGAACCAAUACAUGCAUGGAUAAAAAAACUGAAGAUGUCAUGUGAUGCUAUGUAAUCAUUAAGAAUGAGCCCGAAAGACAUUUCAUUAUAUGAAACAAGCCAGGUACAAAAAAAGUAUCACAUAAUUUCACUUGCAGUUAGAAGUUAAAUUAGCCGAGCACCUAGCAGGGAGUGGAAUGGAUCUGCCAAAGGCUGCACCAGCUCAGCUGGACAGGAAUGAAUAUUGCAUGAUAUCAUGGCCACCGUUAAUAGCAAUAUCUUACACAUCACUGAGAGAUUUUCAAUGUUCUUGGCACAAAACAUCACAAAUAUGUGAAGGAGUAUAUGUGUUAGUUAGCUCAAUCUAGACACUCUAUAACGUAUGCAUAAACUGAAACAACCUGUUACGUAUGAUAAAGAUAUACAAAUGUUAUAUAUGGUAAAGAUAUACAAAUGUUACAUAUGGUAAAGAUAUACAAAUGUUACAUAUGGUAAAGAUAUACAAAUGUUACAUAUGGUAAAGAUAUACAAAUGUUACAUAUGGUAAAGAUAUACAAAUGUUACAUAUGGUAAAGAUAUACAAAUGUUACAUAUGAUAAAGAUAUACAAAUGUUUUGUCACUUAAACAUUUUAAAGAGAGAAGAGGAGGAGGAAGGCAAAGGCCCUAGUUUUCGAUUGACUCCUUGUGUGUUGAAAAUCUGUGGCACAGUAACAUGUUAGCUCUGUUUCCUAAAUUAUAGAAGUGAACGUGGUAAGAAUGCCCUUGAAUAUUGAGAAACCUUGACCUCUACGAGCCUCCUAGAGCCCGGCCAGGGUCGCUGUUGGAGCCAGGGUGUCAAGAGCAGCAGGUUACGGGCGAGGCAGGGCCCUGAGGAUGGAGGGCAGGGUGGGGAGGACACGGCGCCCUUCCUCCCCAGACUGAGGCAGGUCGCCGGCUCCGUGGAAGAGGCCAGAGCAGCCUCACACCUCCAGGGUGGCCACAGCCUGGCUACGACUACACCAAAGAGGAACACCCUGCCUCUCCCCCUCCGCAUCUCCCUGCAGUGCCUCCUGGGCACUCCACCUCAGGAUCGAGCUAGUCAAGGCCUGGGAACAGAGAGAGAAACGGGGAGACUCGACAGGGUCUCCAGAGGAGACCUGGCCAUGAGUCCCUAACCAACUGACAGGCUGGCCGGGGCUGGGCAUGCUCUGGGACACAGCCCUGGGGCUCCCCGGCGACCCGCACAGCGCUGUGCACAGCUCCAGCUCCAGAUGCCAGGACACUGCACGCCCCAUACACAGCUCCCCGGAGAGCGGCCCUAACCCUUUCCCACCCCCUCUCCUUUCAGAGAGCCCAAGCUGCAGCUGCAACCCCCAAUUCUACCUGCUGCACCCGCCCCUGCAGGGCCUGUGGUUCCAGGAGAAGGCCAACUUCACCUGCCUCGUGGUCGGGGAGGACCUGGUGGACGCCCGCCUCUCCUGGGAGGUGGCCGGGAAGGUCACCACCAAUGACGUGGAGCAGCAGUCUCUGGAGCGACUGGCCAACGGGUCCCAGAGCCAGAGCAGUCACCUGGUCCUGCCUAGGUCCACCUGGGAGGGGGGGAGCAACGUCAGCUGCAUCCUGACGCUUCCCUGCCUCGCAUCCCCGCGGGAGCUGACAGCAGCAAAGGAGCAGGGGGCCCAGGCGCCCAGCAGCCUCUCCGUCAGCCUGCUGACCACACCGGCCCCCCUGGAGACAGCUUUGUGGCUCCUGUGCGAGGUGUCAGGCUUCUCCCCUCACCACGUCCUCCUGAUGUGGCUGGAGGGCCAGAAGGAGGUGGGCCCUGAACGGUUUGCCUCUGCCGAACCUGGGCCUCAAUCCCGGAGCACCAUGUUCCGAACCUGGAGCACCCUGCGCAUCCCCCACCUCCUCAGUCCUUCCCCGGCCACCUACACCUGUGUAGUCAAGCACGAGGCCUCCCGCACCAUGGCCAACGCCAGCAGCAGCCUGGGUGCCAGGGAGCUGGCCACCACCCUGCUGCUGGCCCCACAGAGCCAGGACCAGAACAGUGACGACUACACAGAGCUGGACAAGGAGAGCAGCCUGUGGACCAUGCUGGGCACCUUCGUGGCCCUGUUCCUCCUUACACUGCUCUACAGCGGCUUCGUCACCUUCAUCAAGGUAGCCGGUGAAGUGACCCCAAGACGCAAGACUUCCUGUGGCCUCAGAGACUCCAGAACUGGAUGUAGAAGAGGUCUGCGGAGAUGACCUGUCCUGGACACCCUCCGCGCAGAGACAGACCCCAGCCCUCCCUCCCAGCUUCACAGGCAGAUCCGUGGGGUUUCCUGGCUGGGUGGGCAGCGUGUUCUGCUGGCCUGGCUGGCUGGCACUGCCCCCUGCCCCCUCCCCCCUGCCCCCUUGAGAGUCGUCCUUGCCGCCACCCUGUAAACACACUUUGGCUCA